GUAACGUGUCACCCACUGGACACAUAAACAGCACUCCAAAGGACUUCACCGUUCAUAGCUGCUCCUGUUUAAGGGGUUCCAGGGUGUAAUGUGACACAGCCUAAUUCUUAUACACUCCUGCACUUCCCUUGAACUGACACAUGAAAACGAGGAAGGAAAACCUCUUGGAACAUUUACCUAUGACCAAGAUGGAGAAACCAUCCAGAUCUACCAACUUCCUGAGUCUCCCAGUGAGGUGUACUGCCUGGUGGAACUACCGGUCCACAGUAACUGGGGUCACCCAGAGUACACC